GGGGUCMCCCGUCCGAGUUGUWCUUUGAAGAGGCGUCAUCGUGCGGACCACGUGAAAGUCCCCUGGAAUGGGCGUCACAGAGGGUGAUAACCCCGUAUUCGACGUGGACUACCGGGGCUUUGUGUUGCGCCUUCCAUGAGUCGGGUUGCUUGCGAAUGCAGCCCAAAAUGGGUGGUAAAUUCCAUCUAAGGCUAAAUACCGGUGGGAGACCGAUAGCGAACAAGUACCGCGAGGGAAAGAUGAAAAGAACUCUGGAAAGAGAGUUAAACAGUAUGUGAAAUCGUCAGGAGGGAAACGCUUGAAGUGGGCACACGUGGGCGGGAAUCAAACCGGGGCCUCGGCCUCGGCGGUACUUCUCGUCCCAUGGGCCAACAUCAGUUUUGGUCGGCGUAGAUGGCCGGGGGGAAUGUGGCGCCCUUUGGGGCGUGUUAUAGCCUCCCGGUGCUCACGUUGGUCGGGACUGACGAAUUGCUGUCGGGUCGACUCUGUCGACGUGGGUGCCACCCCUCAUGAGUGGUGCGACGCGAUGUUGGUUGGUCGGCUUUAAGCGACCHDUCUUGAAACACGGACCAAGGAGUGCAACACAUGCGCGAGUGUUAGGGUGGCAAACCCGAGCGCGCAGCGAAAGCGAUGUCCGGGAAUCCUUCACGGGAGGCACCGGAGCCCGGUUCAAAAGCGCGACCUCACGGUCAAGUGGACGGUGCCGAGGCAGAGCGCAUGUGCUGCGACCCGAAAGAUGGUGAACUAUGCCCGGGUAGGGUGAAGCCGGAGGAAACUCCGGUGGAGGCCCGCAGCGAUUCUGACGUGCAAAUCGAUCGUCUGAUCUGGGUAUAGGGGCGAAAGACCAAUCGAACCAUCUAGUAGCUGGUUCCUGCCGAAGUUUCCCUCAGGAUAGCAGAAGCCCGUUUAUCAGAUUUACGGGGUAAAGCGAAUGAUUAGAGGUCUUGGGGCCGCAAUGGCCUUAGCCUAUUCUCAAACUCUGAAUCCGUAAGAUCGGGGGAUCUCUUGGCUGGAUCCCCUGUUGAGAUUGUGGGCUUCUAGUGGGCCGGUUUUGGUAAGCAGAACUGGCGAUGCGGGAUGAACCGAACGUGGGGUUAAGGUGCCGGAACGCACGCUCAUCAGAUCCCAAAAAAGGUGUUAGUCCAUCCAGACAGCAGGACGGUGGCCAUGGAAGUCGGAACCCGCUAAGGAGUGUGUAACAACUCACCUGGCCGAAUGGACUAGCCCUGAAAAUGGAUGGCGCUUAAGCGUGUUACCCACACCCCACCCUCGGUGUGCUUCGUGAUGCACCGAGGAGUAGCAGCGCGGAGGUCCGCGUGGAAGCCUUUGGCGG
rnacentral:rRNA from 1 species